UAAAAAUCACCAUUCAAUAAAAUUAAAAUGAAUCUGGUCAGAACUUGGUUGGAGCAGCCAUAAUUUUUAAUUUCAUGUGAUUGGUGAUUUUUAA
rnacentral:SRP_RNA from 1 species